rnacentral:ncRNA from 1 species
UUGAUAAAUAGGUUAAUUUUUAAAUUGAUAGUAUUUAUUUUUUUUAAUUAUCUUAUUUGAAAGUUUUAUUCUUGCUUAAUAAUUCAUUAUUUCAUUGUAUUAUAUGUAAGUUUUGUUAUACUAAAUGUUCUAUUUUGCAGUAAUUUAAUUUAAUUAUUAAUAAAUUUUAGAAUUAGCAAUUGAUUAAGUAUAGGCAUAUUUCGUGCCAGCAGCCGCGGUUAGACGAUUUAUACAAAUGAAUUUUUUUGAUUAGGGCAGUUAUUUAUAAUUUAUGGAUUAUUUAAAAAUUUUUUUGGGUGAAAUCAAAAUAUUUUUUUUUUUUCUUUGUAUGAAUCUGUGAAAUUUAGAAGAUAAACUAGGAUUAGAUACCCUAUUAUUCUAAAUGUAAAUUUUUUUUGUCUGGGUAGUAUUAGUUAAGUUCUUAAAACCCAAAGAAUUUGGCGGUAUCUUAUUCCAUUCAGAGGAACCUACCCCAUUAUCGAUAGUACACGAUUAACUUUACUUGAUCUAUUUGUUUGUAUAUCUCCGUUAUCAGAAAAUCUUUUUAGAGUUAUAAUUUUCAUGAUUUAUAAUUAUAAAUUAUUUCAGGUCAAGGUGCAGCUUAUGGUUAAGAGGAGGUGGGUUACAAUAAAUUUUUGUUUAUAAUGGAUUUAAUAAUUAAAAUUAUUAAUAAAGGUGGAUUUGAUAGUAAUUUAAUUAAUUUAAUUUAAUUGAUAUUGGCUCUGAGGUGUGUACACAUCGCCCGUCGCUCUCAUUUAUUUUUAAUAAUUAUAUAAAUUUAUUUUAAGUGAGAUAAGUCGUAACAUAGUAGAUGUACUGGAAAGUGUAUCUAGAAAGUUUAAU